rnacentral:lncRNA from 1 species
UUUUUCCCUUUUAUAAUAUAAAAUAAUUGUGUCGAUUAAUAAAAUAUAGGGCCAAUUGCUUAUAUAUUCCUGAAAAGUUUCCGACUUUUCGAUUUACCUCUCUUAGAAGACUAAUAUUGAAAAUACCCUUUCUACGUUCCAACAUAUUUUUAAUAUAUCCCUAGAGUUAAAAUCUCUUAAUGAAUUCUGUUAUCUCUGUAAAAUUACUAUUUUGCCCUUUCAAAUAUACCCUUCAACCAUUACUGACUUUUGGUCUUUUCUAAUAUACCUCUCUGCCAUUACAAAUAUGUCUUAUUUGCCCUUAAGUUAAGGACAAAAUGCUUAACAGGAGAUAACUGUGAAAAUAUUUUGCAAUAACGGUGGAACGUAUGAAGAGUAUUUUAGAAAGAAAAAAAGAGUAGGAAUAAAUCGAAUAUUUUCAAACGUAUAAAAAGUAUAUAGGCAAUUAUCUCUAAAAUAUAAUAUCAUACUUAUUCUUAUGACUAGAUCGUCUUAAUAU